UUUGUUCCCUGCCACCCACUUGCUCCCUGGGGACAGCCCUGUUCUCUUCCAGCAUAAACACGGCCUUUACAAGGAUGAUUCAGGUUUUCACUGGGAGCCUUUCAUUUGCACUGUUUAUGCAGGCACGUCGUGCCCUGUACAAUAUCUCUCUUGUUUGCCAUGAACAUCAGCAUGAUGGGAAGGCAGCAGAAGACUCCGAGGGAUCAUCAGCAGAUGGAAUGAAACAAUGCCAACAGUGAGAGAAAAUAGCUGGAGAGGCUGCUCCUGGGGCAAGACACAUCCUCAGUGGAACGGGGCAAUGCUGUUGGGAGUGUGGAGAGAGGAUCCUGAGUGCAAGCAGGUUUGUGUGCAGAGUCACUGGAGCUGGUGGAACUUCUAGAUCCUGAGUAUUCUGCUGGAACUCUCUCCUUUUCCUGGGAAAGAUAAAUGGUGCCUGCUGUCACAGGUUUCUAAGAGAUUUAGCCUGUUGGUGAUACAGCAGUGUGAGGAUGGAAACCCUCACUGCCCCACUGGGUGUAGUUUCAGAGCAGGACAAGUGACCAUUUCAUAUCCUGUCAUUGGGUUUUGUGAGGAUUUCGUUCCUAUUUGUCCUA